CUCGGCCGACCUCAGAUCAGGUAAGAUUACCCGCCGAAUUUAAGCAUAUCAAUAAGCGGAGGAA
rnacentral:rRNA from 1 species